GGAUUGAUGAUGAUUCCCCUGUCCAAACAUUCCUUGGAAAAGGUGAACAAAAUGAGUGAAACUCACUACUAUCUCACUCUUCAGAACUGAGUCC
ensembl:snoRNA SNORD116 Small nucleolar RNA SNORD116